GGGCGGAGUGCGUGUAAGGACUCUGCCCGAGGUGAUGCUCUGGUGUACUUCCCCGACAUCAGAUGGACACAUCGGGCAGGGCCCUGUACGCGCCCCGCAUCGUG
rfam:Corynebacterium marinum DSM 44953, complete genome.